AGUGAACGCUGGCGGUAGGCCUAACACAUGCAAGUCGAACGGCAGCACAGUAAGAGCUUGCUCUUACGGGUGGCGAGUGGCGGACGGGUGAGGAAUACAUCGGAAUCUACUUUUUCGUGGGGGAUAACGUAGGGAAACUUACGCUAAUACCGCAUACGACCUACGGGUGAAAGCAGGGGAUCUUCGGACCUUGCGCGAUUGAAUGAGCCGGUGUCGGAUUAGCUAGUUGGGGGGGUAAGGGCCCACCAAGGCGACGACCCGUAGCUGGUCUGAGAGGAUGAUCCGCCACACUGGAACUGAGACACGGUCCAGACUCCUACGGGAGGCAGCAGUGGGGAAUAUUGGACAAUGGGCGCAAGCCUGAUCCAGCCAUACCGCGUGAGUGAAGAAGGCCUUCGGGUUGUAAAGCCCUUUUGUUGGGAAAGAAAAGCAGCAGGUUAAUACCCCGCUGUUCUGACGGUACCCAAAGAAUAAGCACCGGCUAACUUCGUG
rnacentral:rRNA from 1 species